rnacentral:rRNA from 1 species
AUACGUAGGGUGCGAGCGUUGUCCGGAAUUACUGGGCGUAAAGAGCUCGUAGGUGGUUUGUCGCGUCGUCUGUGAAAUUCCGGGGCUUAACUCCGGGCGUGCAGGCGAUACGGGCAUAACUUGAGUACUGUAGGGGAGACUGGAAUUCCUGGUGUAGCGGUGAAAUGCGCAGAUAUCAGGAGGAACACCGGUGGCGAAGGGGGAUCUCUGGGCGGUAACUGACGCUGAGAAGCGAAAGCAUGGGUAGCGAACAUGAUGAGAUACCCUGGUAGUCCAUGCUGUAAACGGUGGUCGCUAGUUGUAGGUGUCUUCCACGACUUCUGUGCCGUAGCUAACGCAUUAAUCGCCCCGCCUGGGGAGUACGGCCGCAAGGCUAAAACUCAAAUGAAUUGACGGGG